rnacentral:rRNA from 1 species
UACGAAGGGGGCAAGCGUUGUUCGGAAUUACUGGGCGUAAAGGGCGCGUAGGCGGUGCACUAAGUCAGGCGUGAAAGCCCUGGGCUCAACCCGGGAAUUGCGCUUGAUACUGGUGCGCUUGAAUCCAGGAGAGGUUGGUGGAAUUCCCAGUGUAGAGGUGAAAUUCGUAGAGAUUGGGAAGAACACCAGUGGCGAAGGCGGCUUUCUGGUCUGUAACUGACGCUGAGGCGCGAAAGCGUGGGGAGCAAACAGG